UACAGAGGGUGCUAGCGUUGUUCGGAAUCAUUGGGCGUAAAGGGCGUGUAGGCGGUUUGUUAAGUCAUGUGUGAAAUCCCUCGGCUCAACCGGGGAACGACGCAUGAAACUGGCAAGCUAGAGUACCAAAGAGGGGGGUGGAAUUCCCGGUGUAGCGGUGAAAUGCGUAGAUAUCGGGAAGAACACCUGCGGCGAAGGCGGGUUGCUGGGCUGACACUGACGCUGAGGCGCGAAAGCUGGGGGAGCGAACGGG
rnacentral:rRNA from 1 species